UAUGACUCACAGGGGCAGGCCUUUCGGUAUGUGAAGUAGAGGAGAGAGUUUUAUCCCUACUACUCUUUUUGUUUCUGUUUUUGCGGACUUAUUUCGACACUUUCUUUCCUCACUCGCUUCUUUGUGUCUGCCGGAGUGAAGAAGAAGAAGAAGAAAUUACGAGAAAGAGCCAACAUGGCAGCAGGAAGCCGGCUCGCUGCUCUUUGGCUACAGCUCUUUGUUGUGGUGUCUUGCAGUGUGUGUAACGUCAGCCCUCAGCAGAUUGACCCCCUGGUGUUUGAGGAGCAGCUGCUGUGGGUGAGCGGAGCCCAGGGUCAGGUAAACACUUACAGGAUCCCGCUGCUCACCUUCACCCCCAAAGGAAGCCUGCUGGCAUUUGCAGAAGCCAGGAAGUCUUCUUCUUCUGACAUUGGAGCGAAAUUCUUUGCUUUGCGGCGCUCCACCGACAAAGGAUCCACCUGGUCCCCAACCACCUUUAUUAUCGAUGACGGGGCGGCGCCGGAUGGCAUAAACCUGGGCUCUGUUGUGGUGGACGAGGAAGUGGGCUCAGUGAUUCUGAUCUACUCAGUGUGCUUCCACCACUACCAUUGUAGCCCGGCCAGCAUCAUGAUGGUGGAGAGCCGGGAUGACGGCCUCAGCUGGACCCCGCCCAGAAACCUCUCGGUUACACUCGGCGUGAAGAACUUCGCUCCCGGGCCGGGCCUCGGUCUCCAGAAGCACUUCAAUCCUGCAAAGGGGAGGUUGGUGGUUUGCGGUCACGGGACGCUGGAGGGCGACGGUGUUUUCUGCAUCCUGAGCGACGACCACGGACAAACCUGGUACAACGGUGCGGCGCUGAAAAGCAUCCCCUACAACCAGAAGAAGAAAGCGCAAGACUUCAACCCUGAUGAGUGCCAGCCAAUUGAGUUGACUGACGGGACCAUCGCCAUCAACGUCCGGAACCAGAACAACUACCACUGCCGGUGCCGCAUUGUGGUGCACAGCUAUGAUGGAGGGUUGACCCUGCCCUUAGAAGGCCUGAUUUUUGACGAGGCACUGGUGGAUCCUGUAGUGGCAGCCGGAGCUCUGCAAAAAGAGGGCGUAAUCUACUUCACCAACCCCUCCAAUGAGCAAAAGAGAGUGAAUCUAACCCUGAAAUGGUCGCUGACAAACGGCACGUCUUGGGAGAACAAAGCUGUCCAGAUAUGGGCAGGUCCGAGCGGCUACUCCAGUAUGACAUCACUGGACAGCGGCUCUGUAGAAGACCGCAAGUACAUCUUUGUCAUCUACGAGAAGGGCCAGAAAGACUAUUUCGAGACCGUCUCGUUCACCAAGAUCCACCUGUAUGGUGGUCGUUAAGAGCACACGAGGACAUUUAAACACUUAAGGGAAAAAAGAAAACCGGAAGAGUUUUUUUUUUUUUUUUUAAUCCAUCACCUUUCUCAGGAAGAUAAACAGACUCAUGCUAGGAUAUCACGAAAAUGGAGAAAGAAGAAUCUGCACGCACACAUUUUGUGAUUACGCCAUCAAAAAAUAUUUUUCUCUCAUUUAAUCCUUCUGUUCUUUACAUUUUUCAAAGGUGGUUUAAAUCACGUGUUUGUAACCCUUUAAUUUUAUUUGCCAAUUAACUGCACAGCUGCAAAAUUGGGGCAGAGAAAUAUGUCAAAGCAGGAAAUGCUGAAGAUUGUUUUACAGACGGGGGACAUAGUUUACAAAAAGCUGAUUGUUAAGUAUUUUGUAAACCUAAUUGUUUUGGGACAGAAAAAAAACUAAUGUUUGAGUGUGUGAAAGUGAAAAUUACUUUUGAACCACUAUAGAUGCAACAGUUUUUUCUUUUACUAUCAUAAAGUUUGCUGUGAAUUCAUGCUGAUUGAAAUCAGUUCUACCUUUAGAAAACUUGUAAUUGUGUAAAAUAAUGGCCUAAAAAAGCAAAACCUUUUUUAAAAGAUAUAUAUUUUCACUUAUAAAUUCUCUUUAAUUGUUUCUUUGAGGUUUAAAUAAUUGUUUCAUAUACAUGUGUGGAAGAAUGUGUGAAUGAAAAGGUGCCUAACGUAACCCAAAAUGUCUUUGUUUGUAUUUAUGGAGCGGAAUCUGAGUUAUUUUAUUUGUGUAUUUUAAAUGUCAGAUUAUGACCAAAUGUCUUUUGUCUGUAGAUGCUUGGCGGGUAAAUGAAUCUGUGCUGUAAUGGAUUUUCCUUCUUGUCACAUUGUCCUUGUUUUUAUGGAUUUGAUUGUGGAAAACACACUUUUUAUGUCUGAAAUGAAAAUAAAAGGGAGGGACUGAUUUAAACCACA